CUGUGAUGGGAGUGACGAAUACGGUGAUAAAGUGAAGUGCCCGAAUACAUGUCGGGAAGCUGGAAAAGCAACACGAGAUGAGCUGAAGAAAAAAAAAAAAUUGCUGUGUACCGGGAGGGCGUUGCCAUAUGUAAACAGGAAGUGGAACAGGCUAAAGUAGCUCUUGCAAAAGACAAGGAAGAAUUGUCAAAACUGAAAAGUGAGGAGAAAGCACUGAAAGUGCAGUUUGAACAGCUUAAAGUCCACUUGGAAGGAACAAGAGUUUCGUUCUCCUAGUAGCAGCUGCACGCCGGAGGUUUUGGAGGGGAAAUGGCAACUUAAAAUAAGGAUGCACGCUUAAUUUAGUUCUUGUUCUGUGAGCUGCUUCAGUCACCCUCUUCACUUCCUCGAGCAAAUUAUAGUCUGUCCAUCAUGAAUUUCAAAGAAUUAUGAGCAUAACAAACUCAAGAAUAAAUGAAAGAUUCAUAAAAAGUAAAUAUGAAAA